rnacentral:sRNA from 1 species
GCCUAACGGAAAUACCCAGAAAUAAUGUAAAUUCAAGAAUCUGAAUAAUCGGGGAAGCUAUCCGGCGGAAGUAAACCUCGGCCGGUGUUGCCGACUUGCCACUUCGACUGCUUCUGCCACUGCCACUUCUUGGCCAUGUUUAUUUGUGUUGUAAAUUGCGAAUGCGCCCCACAGCAACAACAAAUGGGGGGAAAACAUAACGCGCAGUCGCGCACUUCAAUAAACAACAGGAGGAACACCACAACAGCCACAACAACUAUAUAUACUUGGGCAUUAGUUGCCUCUGGCAUUGCGUACGUGCCCGGACCCGGCGUCGCCAUUUUCAUGCACCGCGAAAAAAUAUUCAUUUAAUGGGAUAAACCCAAGAAAUCUGCAUAAUCCCAUUUAAAAUCGUAUAUGAAGUUUCUUUCUGUGUAGCCAUCGCCAACGAAUGUGGAUGGUUUCUUUGGGCUUACCACUGACAAAGACGACAACCACGCAUCGUAAAAAGAGUUUUAUGCAAUUGCCGCUUUGGUUUUGGCCCGAAUGCGUUGUGGUUGUGUUUGCCUAUUGUAUAAUAGCCCCAUGUGUGUGCGUGUGCGGUAUGUGCUCUGCAUAAUUUUAUGAUUCGUCCGACAGUUCCUGCAACGCGGGCCAACUCGAAAAGCCAUGUCCAUUGGCGAUUUCCACUCGAGGCCUCUUUUCUUUUUGUUUUUUUUGAUUUUGGUUUCCUUAGGAGGACGCGUGGGCGAUGGAGUGCAUGUGCAUGUGGAUUUGAUGCAUUGAUUGAAUUUAACGCAGCACAAUUUGGCCCCAACGCUCUUGGCCAAAAGGGCCAAAGUCGAGCCACAAUGGCCCAGCGCGAGUCAGGCGGAGAUGUGCGACUAUGUGACUGGAAUCGCAAUCGGAAUGCCGCGACGGAUGAGCCGCGGAUGGUGGAUGGUGGAUAGUGGAUAGUCGAUGGUCGUUGGUAAUUGUAAAUGGCCGGACAGGUCGGUAGCUGCCAUUCAGUGUUGCCAAUUUAGCCAAAUUUGGCAUGUGACUAGGUUUUUUUGUUAAAGAGCGUCUCGUAACUGCUAGUUUAUCCGACUCUUGUGGAAGAUUCGAUGGAUUUUAUUCAGCUAAAAAUGGUCGAAAAUCUUAUAAUAAUAAAGUGGGACGAGAGCAAGAUCUGUCGGUGGAAAAAAGUUAGGAAAUAGUGUCAUCACGCUAUCAUCAACUCUGUAGAUUCUUAUUCUUCCGUUUCCAUUUGAAACUUUUUUCUUCGAGAAAUUGUGGUUUCUUUCCAGUCAUUAGGAAUGAAUUUGCAGAACUCCGGUUUCUUAUCCCAUAAUAUAUUUCCACCCCACAAAGCUACUUUGUAUAUCCUCACUUCAUCUUGAUUUAUUUAGUUGGCUUUAAUUUAUGACUCGACUUCAAAGCGAUAUUUCCAACUAAUCCUGGUCGCAGCAUUCCUGUUUAAAUUAUCGCCGCCUGUACUUCUGAUCCAGUGGCUGGUUACAAGGAGGGAACCUUGAAGCAUCCCGAGUACAAGCGAUUUAAAUAUACGAAAAUAACUAAAUCUAGACAUAAAAAGCGACAACAGUGCCGCAAACAAGAAGUCUUGUAAAAAUGCAAAUCAAUAAGCAAAGGUCCAGUUUGCCUGCCUGCAAUAAAAUAAAUGUAAAAAGCGAGCCAUUAAAAACGUCCACGAGGAACGUCCAAUACUACACUACCAGUACCUUUUGAGUUGGCCAGUUUUUGUCUUUUGUCGCAUCUGGCAGACGCCGAUGCUGCGGUUGCAAUUUGGUUUAGUACCUAGGUGUUAAUUAUCGCUAAAAGUCAAUGGCGGGCAAUCGGCGAAAUCUGCACAGGGGCAUCGCAUCGUGCUUUGCAUCUGCCCCUGGAGAAUACUUAGAGCUGGAGAUGGAGCUGGGAUUGGGGUUUCGAGUGGAGCAGCAGGUUGCACUCGGACAGCUGUACAAGUGGCCACGAUAAUUAAUAUGAAAAUAUGUGAGGAUGGCGCAGGACAACUCCACUCUGGCGCGCAGAAAUGUUUGCUGCUAUUUUUAGCAGGCCAUUUUUAAUGAGCCCUGUCCAAAGUCGUGCCCAUGCUGCAGGGGGAGUCCGAGAAGACCAAAGAAUCCGUGGGGCCACCCGGGUGUCCUAAUUAUGCUCUCAUUUCCCUUCCCUUUUAUGAAUUAUUAAAAUCAGCAUUGCCGGCAUUAAUUGCUUUAUAAUAGAGAUGGCGGCGAUCAUGGCCCAAAAGAGCGACCGCUGCUCGGUUUCCGUUGCUGUUUUCAGACUUUUUGCGAUACUCAUAUUUCUAUAAUUUAUUGUAAUGCACUUGGGGCGUGUUUCAUUUCUCGCUUUAAAAUGGCAUAAAUUUUUAAGCCGUGCCCCGGCCCAUUCUGCGUCUGCGGCUAUUUAACAAUUUAUUGUCUGUACACAUAUAGCCGCAUUUAUACUAUAUAUAUAUAUAUAUAUUUCUUCCUUUUAUUUUCAUUUUUUCUGUAGUUGCAUUUUGUCUGAAGUCGACAGCGGCCACGACCACCUUGAUGUUCAUGUCCCGAACCGACAACAACGACGAUGACUCCAACGACUGGGGGCCAAUUUACUUUAGUUUUCAUUCAUGUAUGUCGGAGUGGUGGAGAGGAAAAUAAGAGAAAAAAUCGCUGGAAAAAAACUGUAAGCUGCGUUCAUUACACGUUGUUAUUUGUUGUCUGCGGUACAUUAUUGCUCUUGUUCGCUGUUUUGCUCACCAAUUAGCUGCAGUCGGCCAAACGAAAGACUGCGACCACGAACUUGACUCGACUGCUGUUCGUUCUGUUCUGAGUGAGCAAGAUUACAGACGACGAGGGCUUUUGUCACGUACUUUCCACGGUCCUAAUCCACUUCUAUUGCCUGGAACUUGGUUCUGGGCACCGGCAACUCGAAGAAGUCAAAGAACUACCUCGAUUUUCUUGCUGACGCACCACCAUCACCAACAUCAUGCUCAUCCUCAUGACGAUUAUGACCGGCAAGAGGGGCUCACAUCAAUCAAAUGCCUCAUUGUACACGGCUCCCAUCUUCUCUUUUUUUAUUUAACCAAGGGCCGCCACUUGAACUUGACAUUUGGUGUAAGUGACCAUUAAGGAAGUGCCUUGGGAUGGUCCGAGUCGGAACAACUUGGAGCCAAGCCUGUGGCAAUUAGCCGGGAAUAUCAAUCAACGCACCAUUUGAGUGUGAAAACAGCUCAGCUUUUAAUUACAAAAGCUCUUUGUGUGUGGGACUCAGAAGUCGACGCAGUUGAAGGCCUCCCAUGUCCCCGCCCACGGUCAUUUCAAAACGCCUCUGCGCGAUGUUUGUUGCCAACUGGCAACUGGCAUUUGUUAGAACCGCAUGCAAACCGGGUCUGUUUUGCCUGUCUUAGCUCGGAUCAUGGGUAAUAAGCCAAUUGGCGUCGGCCAGGCCACACUACAUUUUAAUCAAGCCAACUGAGUUGUAAAGCCCACGCACCAUCAAAGCCAAAUAUGUUCCCCGUCGGCGUUGAGAGACUCGCACCACAUCCAAAGUGUCGCCAGCUGUCGACCUUCGAGGCGUUGUUGAGUUGAGUCAUGGCUUAUACUUUUGGCCAUAACCGACAACACUGUGGAUGGCAAAUUGAUGGUGAAAUUGUGUAGAGAAGCUGGGAGUGUUAAUAUAUCCGGGAUGCAAAUUGCAUUAAAUCGCACUAAAACCCAAAAAAUGUUAACUGAGUACUAUAUGCAAAUUCAGACAGUAUUAACCACUUCUACCCAUCAAUAUUCUGAGAACCAAUGAAAGAUACUCAUCUUGUGGAGAAUACUUAAGGUCUCAACAAGCUAGUGAAUAACAUUACAUGGGUGAUUAGAUCAGAGUGUUUCCUCCUCAAUCUGAUCGCCACCUGGGUGCCAUCAAAGUGUCCACACUUGGUUAAAGCUUCCUUUGCGCACCGACAAUCAUCCAGCCUCCUCGUUCCGGAGACGAAUCAAAUACCGAUAGUUACGCCCCUUUUAGCUGGCGAGAACAGACUGUCAAGCCAAAUUAGCAGUCGCUACUGUUGGCCAUAUCAUAUCAUUUACCUGGGAGCACUGGUCACAUACAUAUACCGACUACCAAGACCCCUCGCCAAUUCGAUUAGGCCGCGCAAAUGUAAUUUAAUAAUUGCGGUUGCCCAUGUUGAUUAGCAUGUGCGGUUUUUGCAAUUUACGGCCAGUGGCGAUCCGCAGGAUAUGAGCUGGCACUAUGACAAUGACAGGAUGCAUCAAUGCAUCAAUGUGCGGCACAGAGCCACCGCUCCUCACAUGGUGGCGACAUGGAAAUGUUUAUGGCUUUGUGCGCGCCUGCGGUGGCAACUUCAAAUGCAGCGGUAAUUGAAUUUUAAAUUGUGGUGGUUGUGUGCUGCUCUACGUGCUGCUCCUGUUGGCCAGAUUAAUUUAAAUGAAGUUAUUAGCCGGCUAGAUAGCUCACUGACAGGGCGCAGAAAGGCAGCAAAAGACAAAAGACCAUGUAGCUCCCACUCCUGCUGACUCCAAGUGCCCUGAUAUGGGGAUACACUAUAUGUACCAGUGGAGCUGCCAGGCUCCAACGGGUUUUCCGAUUUAACUGCUCUUGCGGGCUGCAUUUGAAAGUUAAAUUACGGUAGCGAUAUCGGAGCAGACAUUCCGUUAAUUGGCCGCACAACUUGAGAUCGAGUUGAUGGCUUGGUUUUGCAUACAGGCCUUUAGGAUACUCUAUUUGCCUGUGGGGCCUCGCCAAGAAUGAAAGAAUGGGCAUGCUACUCCAGAACUCCAUCCGGCAUAUAUUGGAACUUUCUAAAUUAUGUUAAGAAAUCCUUAAUGGCUUAAUAAAGCUGCAUCCUAAAAUAUUUACUACUUGCCAAAGGCAGUGCCCUCCCUAACCUUAGCUCAGCAAUUGUUAUGGCUGUUUUAUGUGUUUCCUAGUCACUUAAUUCAUUUAACUUGGCUUUUCCUACUCGGCGGUUAGGCGAACGAAACCUGAACUAGAUUUUGUAAGCCGUGAAGCUCACAACUCAACCCAUUUUCCUGCUGUUUUUGGAGAGUGUAAUAAAACUUCGUUGCGCCCCAGCAACCUCGCCUUCUUGAUGCCAGUUUUGCAAUUUUUUUUUUUUUUUUGGCUAAGUCUGCUUUACAGUUGCGGCAGAAAUUGUUGCAAAUUGCAGUUUAAAAAGUUUCCGUGUUGGUUUUUUUUUCCGGCGUCGGAGUCUGCAACUAAUAUGAGUCAUAAAUUUAAAGGCUUAACUCGAGGCUAAGGCGAGUGCAACUGCAACCGAACCUGGAGCUGUGCCGCUGACAGGGACUUUUAAAAUGAAAUAAAUAAACGGCAUUACGGCUAGUUAUAUGCAGCGAUCAGGGUCUUGAGCGGCAUAAACCACGACGACAAAAACAAAAAAAAAAAGCAACUGUGCCACGGAGUGUUGGCGUGGAAGCUGAAAGUUGAACUGAAUGUGAACUUAACUGGGCUGGGCCCAAGUCGUCCGGUUACUUUUGCAUUUGCAGCACGGUUUCUUUAUUCUGCACGGGACGAAGCCAUUUUAUUGAUACAGAUACAGCAAAUUCGGGUCCACCAAAAACAAAAAAGAAAAAAACACUAAAGUCUGGCCGAGUUUUUUUGGCAACCCGCAGCAUGACAUCAUUUUGAGUUACUGCGAAUCGGAGUUCGAACCGCUCUUUCAGCUGCAGCAGCCCUGCAGCCACAAAAAACACAAAAACUGGUCGCUGUUUUACUUUCGCUUUAUUCCUCGAAGUAUUUCUUAUUUCCUUUCGGCCUGUGUUUUCAGUUUUUUUUUUUUUGGGCAAAGAUGCUUCAUUAUUUUUUGGGUCAUCUUGAAGAAGUACGUUCGUAUAUGGCAAUGAAAAUGAAACCGAGUUCUGGUGAAAGUGGACUGCCCAUCAGCGAAUGGAAAUCGAAAACGCAUAACAAGUGCAUGGCUUUCGAGAUCCGUGGACCACAUGGUCGGGCCUUGGCGGAUCGAUUGUGUCAUGGAGCGUGGGUCGUUCGCCCACGAGGCCUUCUCAAAAAAGCCUCCACUGGCCGAAACUAAUGAUGUUAGACGACGGGCACAGGUUGGCACUGAGGUACAGACUGCUCCGCUUUGGUCUCGGUUUCGUCUUCAUCUGUUCAUCUGAAUAUCGAUUUGUAUGCGUUGCCCACACACUGUAGCUCUUUUGGGAUUUUUGCGGCAGUUAGAAGAGAUCAAUGCAAAAAGUUUCGCGAGCGCGAAAUUAAUUAGAAUUUUGUGGCUUUGAAUGGCAGCUCCGCCGUUGGUGGCUGGGAAAAGACCUUGAGCGGCGGUUCAACAGACUGUGUGGGGGGCUGCAAACUAGUUGAGGCAACUGAGUCACAAUCUUGAAGCUCCAAAAGAGCAUCCAAAUCGCGACCAGUCUUUGGAAUUUGCCCAUAAUAAAUCUGUCUGCAGGCUGAUGGCACUGAAGACGCACAGCAUGACUUACGAAUUACCCGUCAAAUCUAUGGAAUCAAUCUACCGAUUUCGCCAGUUGCUUUGGC